UAUACUAAAUUUCAAAUCUAACCGGAGUCAUUCUAAUAGUACUGCAAGAAAUAAGCGAGAAGUUUAUGAAGUUACACUUGCGAAUAUUUCUAUCAUCCCAGAAUUUAUCGAAAGCGGUUUGAACUAACAUCUCUCAGAGCAUUUGUACAAUUCGACAGUCAAUUCACUGAAAAAGUAGACGACGUUUUUGUGACAUUGAGAUGGAACCAACCUAACUUUACCGAUGAAAUAAUACAAGGGUACACAAUGCAAUGUUUUUUCAUCGAGGAUUUAAAAGAGAUUUAAACCUGCGACGAUAAAAAUAUCACAACUAUAAAAUUGGAGCACACGGUGCACAAUCUAACAUCUAACACGACAUAUUAUUUUCGAGUACGUGCGCAUACUAAAAUUGUU